GGGUGGUUAGCUCAGCGGUAGAGCACUUGCCCGACACGCAAGGGGUCACUGGUUCAAUCCCAGUACCACCCACCA
rnacentral:tRNA from 1 species